UACGGAGGGGGCUAGCGUUGUUCGGAAUUACUGGGCGUAAAGGGCGCGUAGGCGGACCUUCAAGUCAGGGGUGAAAGGCCUGGGCUCAACCCGGGAACUGCCUUUGAAACUGAGGGCCUGGAGACCGAGAGAGGGUAGCGGAAUUGCGAGUGUAGAGGUGAAAUUCGUAGAUAUUGGGAGGAACACCGGUGGCGAAGGCGGCUCACUGGAUCGGUACUGACGCUGAGGCGCGAAAGCGUGGGGAGCAAACAGG
rnacentral:rRNA from 1 species